ensembl:lncRNA
UCAAACUAGUGCCGCGCAGGACAGACAGGAGUCAGUUCACAAAAAAAAAGAAAAGUGUGCGUUCACGAUUCAACUGUUCAUUCAGUAGCUAUGCCACUCAGGGGGCUGUCCACGGAGGAACUUUUACAAAAGUUGGUGGUGGAAGGAGGAAUCCAAAUUUCAGAAGAGGAGGCUCAGAAAUUUAGAGACAAUGAUGUGGAUGGAGAGACAGUAGACUGCGGACUCACAGAAAAUAUGAUUGCAUAUCUCUUUGACAAGUCUUUCAAAAAGCAGCUAAAAUUCAGAGACUUCACACACCGCAACAAGGAGGUCACCGUUACUUUGGAAGUGGUCAACCCAGAACAACAAACAUGUGAAGCUUCUGUGUCCCCAGCAAACCAGAGGUUGGAAUCUACUUGCCACAGACUGCCUGCAGUCAUUUCCAUUCCACAAUUCCCACAAGAUGUCCAGAGCCGCUUAGAUGCUAAAGAACCGGUCCACAAGGAACAAAAAUGCACGCAUGCAAACUUGUCACCCCGGCACACACCCACUCAAUAACACGUGCACGGAGUGAAGUCAGUGAACCACGUGCAGUGAAUAUAACAUUUUACUCGAGUUGAUGACAACUACACUUGUUACUAUAAAUGUA